rnacentral:rRNA from 1 species
UACGGAGGGUGCAAGCGUUAUCCGGAUUUACUGGGUUUAAAGGGUGCGUAGGCGGGCCCUUAAGUCAGUGGUGAAAGCUCCGAGCUUAACUCGGAAACUGCCAUUGAUACUAUAGGUCUUGAAUUCGGUCGAGGUUGGCGGAAUGUGUCGUGUAGCGGUGAAAUGCUUAGAUAUGACACAGAACACCGAUUGCGAAGGCAGCUAGCUAGACCGACAUUGACGCUGAGGCACGAAAGCGUGGGGAGCAAAAGGG